UACGGAGGGAGCUAGCGUUGUUCGGAAUUACUGGGCGUAAAGCGCGCGUAGGCGGCUUUGUAAGUUAGAGGUGAAAGCCCGGGGCUCAACCCCGGAACUGCCUUUAAGACUGCAUCGCUUGAAUCCGGGAGAGGUGAGUGGAAUUCCGAGUGUAGAGGUGAAAUUCGUAGAUAUUCGGAAGAACACCAGUGGCGAAAGGCGGCUCACUGGACCGGGCAUUGACGCUGAGGUGCGAAAGCGUGGGGAGCAAACAGG
rnacentral:rRNA from 1 species